CAGUCGAGCGAGAAAGGCCUUCGGGCUGAGUACAGCGGCGGACGGGUGAGUAACGCGUAGGAAUCUACCUGGUAGUGGGGGACAACAUGGGGAAACUCAUGCUAAUACCGCAUACGCCCUAUGGGGGAAAGCGGGGGACCUUCGGGCCUCGCGCUAUCAGAUGAGCCUGCGUAGGAUUAGCUUGUUGGUGAGGUAAAGGCUCACCAAGGCGACGAUCCUUAGCUGGUCUGAGAGGAUGAUCAGCCACACUGGAACUGAGACACGGUCCAGACUCCUACGGGAGGCAGCAGUGGGGAAUAUUGCGCAAUGGGCGAAAGCCUGACGCAGCCAUGCCGCGUGUGUGAAGAAGGCCUUAGGGUUGUAAAGCACUUUCAAUUGGGAAGAAAGGUUGCGUGUUAAUAGCACGUAGCUGUGACGUUACCUUUAGAAGAAGCACCGGCUAACUCCGUGCCAGCAGCCGCGGUAAUACGGAGGGUGCGAGCGUUAAUCGGAAUUACUGGGCGUAAAGCGCGCGUAGGCGGUUUGUUAAGUCGGAUGUGAAAGCCCCGGGCUCAACCUGGGAAUUGCCUUCGAUACUGGCCGACUAGAGUACGAGAGAGGGAGGUAGAAUUCCACGUGUAGCGGUGAAAUGCGUAGAUAUGUGGAGGAAUACCGGUGGCGAAGGCGGCCUCCUGGCUCGAUACUGACGCUGAGGUGCGAAAGCGUGGGUAGCAAACAGGAUUAGAUACCCUGGUAGUCCACGCCGUAAACGAUGUCUACUAGCCGUUGGGAGACUUGAUUUCUUAGUGGCGCAGCUAACGCACUAAGUAGACCGCCUGGGGAGUACGGCCGCAAGGUU
rnacentral:rRNA from 1 species